rnacentral:piRNA from 2 species
UUUUGGCUCAGAGUUUCAGAAGCUUCAGU